rnacentral:rRNA from 1 species
UACGUAGGGUGCAAGCGUUGUCCGGAAUUAUUGGGCGUAAAGAGCUCGUAGGCGGCUUGUCACGUCGGAUGUGAAAAUCCAGGGCUCAACCCUGGACCUGCAUUCGAUACGGGCGGGCUAGGAUUCGGUAGGGGAGACUGGAAUUCCUGGUGUAGCGGUGAAAUGCGCAGAUAUCAGGAGGAACACCGGUGGCGAAGGCGGGUCUCUGGGCCGAUAUCGACGCUGAGGAGCGAAAGCGUGGGGAGCGAACAGG